CGGCGGGGACUUCGGGACUGCGCGUGCGCGGCUGCGCCCCACCUCCCUCCACUCCUCCGGGUUUUACCAGAGCUGAGAGGAUGAGGUUUUACAGAUGAAGGAACCAAAGUGAUGUGCCUGAAUUCUCACAGGAUCUCAACCCCUGGGAGGAGAAUGUAAGAUGCAAAUGGAAAGCAGUGACCUCACGAUUUUCUGCAACUACUGCUGCUUCUUCAAUGGGUAGGAAGCCGACCACAGAAGCAUCUUGGUUUUGGGGUGUUUUUUUUUUGCCUCUUGCUUUUUGAUGGUCCCUUAGGACAGAGCAAAACAACAAGCACAAAAGAGCCUGCCUUCAGGUAACUAAAACUUGACACUACCAGGAUGGAGUCUGUCCAGCUGCUUUCUCUCUCACCAAAAUGCACCUUGAAAUCUGCCUUCCUUUGGUUGAUUGAGAAUGACUUAAAAUAGUUAAAUAUCAUUUCUUCUUAUUGACAUCUACACGAUGGAAAUCUGUCCUUGGAGUUCCCUGCAGACAACUUUCUCCCAUGAUACUCUUUCUAUCUGCUUUGUUUUUGGAUGCUGUCAUGCGAGGUCUCUGGUCCUGUUCUCCACACAAGAACACAGGAUAUGGUGAGGCCAAAAAGGAACACCAGCAGAGUCAUAGAUAGGGGAUAGGGGAGUCACACCACUAUAUUCUCAC